rnacentral:lncRNA from 1 species
GAGCUCACACACUAAAUUUGGGAAAGUUGGGUUAAAUUUUGUCCUCUGAUAUUUCUACUUUGCAGAGCAGUGGCCUGCAAUAGAGGAGUUUGUUACAAUCUGGGACGUGUCCUUCUGGGAAAGCAGGGAAGCAGAUGCAUCACCAUUUUGAAGUGGCUGUCCUUAUCCCUGGAAAAGCUGGUUUUAUAACCCAUGGCUCUGAAGCCUGGAGUAGCAAAGGAAUGACCGCAGUUUGUUUAUGAACCUUGUGCUUCUGGCACUCCAGCAAAGAUGUGUCUUAACAGUCAGACAGGAGGAUGAACUUCUGUUCAACAGCCCAUCCUUUAAUAGACAUAAGAUCAAAGCAAUGUCAAGCAAGUGUUGCUAAUCCUUUUGAAUUAGUGGUGCAAGUUCAUGAGGUCACUUGUAAAAGUGAUGUAAUAUGCAGAAAACCUCUAAAAACUGAACAUAUGUUAUAUGUAAAGCAAGAAGCAAAGUAAACUGGAACAUUGAAAUGGGACUGAGUGACAUGCGUUCUGUAUCCACAUGGAAGGCACUAGAGACGAGGACACGGAGCUGGGACUGUAGACCUACUGGUGCUGACAACAGAUGGCUCAGAAUGUUCUCAGAGGAGAGCGUGAAGUGAAAAGGGAGAUAGAUAAUUGCUGUGAUCAUGCUGUUGGCCUGGAAGUCAGGAGUUGUUACUGGCUGCGAAAUGAUGCAAAGAAAUUAUUUGACCACAAUGGACAUGUAGUAGUAACAAGAUACUGCUCUGUGGAGAUGACAAAUGUAUAAAUCUCACAGAUUUCUCAGAAAGAGAAUUCUCAGAUACUUUUCUUCGUCCUCAAGAAAAAAACCACAAGGUAUUCUCAUUCCUCUGUUGAGCAUCCUGUAAAUGGAAACGGAAAUGUUUCUUGGGUAAGUUCCCAUUUUUAUAUUGAAAAUGCUGCGGGCCUUGUUC